GUACACGCUGUGACUAGCAUAUCAAUAAGCGGAGGAAAAGAAACUAACAAGGAUUCCCCUAGUAACGGCGAGUGAAGCGGGAAGAGCUCAAAUUUGAAAUCUUAAAGGGUUUCCCUUUACGAAUUGUAGUUUAAAGAAGUGUUUUCUGUUGAGGUUUUGGUAAAAGUUCUUUGGAAUAAGGACAUCAUAGAGGGUGAGAAUCCCGUAUUUGACCUUUACUUUCAACUUUGUGAUACACUUUCAAAGAGUCGGAUUGUUUGGGAAUGCAGUCCAAAAUGGGUGGUAAAUUUCAUCUAAAGCUAAAUAUUGGCGAGAGACCGAUAGCGAACAAGUACCGUGAGGGAAAGAUGAAAAGAACUUUGAAAGGAGAGUUAAACAGUACGUGAAAUUGUCAAAAGGGAAGCGUUUGACACCAGUGUUGUUUUUCUGAAAAUCAAUUAAAGAACUGUUUAUGCUAAGUUGUUUAGACUUUAUCAGCUAACUGUUUAGUUUUGAGCUUUUCUUUAAUGCACUUUUCAGUUAACAAGUCAACAUCAAUUUCUUUUGCUGUAAAAAAGCUUGAGGAAGGUGGCUUGAGAUUCGUCUUAAGUGUUUAUAGCCUCUUGCCUAUGCAGUCGGAGAGAUUGAGGUCUGCAGCGUAGAUCCUUCGGGGCUAAAUGCAUUUGUGCUAAGUUAUAGCAUUUUAUAGACAACUUGUUGACUAUGAUUUGUCUUGUAGCUUACUCGCUUAUGUUAUUUUACCUACGCUUAGGAUGUUGAAGAUGUAGCACAUCAU
rnacentral:rRNA from 1 species